rnacentral:rRNA from 1 species
UACGAAGGGGGCUAGCGUUGCUCGGAAUCACUGGGCGUAAAGCGCACGUAGGCGGAUUGCUAAGUCGGGGGUGAAAUCCCGAGGCCCAACCUCGGAACUGCCUUCGAUACUGCGGGUCUCGAGUCCGGGAGAGGUGAGUGGAAUUCCUAGUGUAGAGGUGAAAUUCGUAGAUAUUAGGAAGAACACCAGUGGCGAAGGCGGCUCACUGGCCCGGUACUGACGCUGAGGCGCGAAAGCGUGGGGAGCAAACAGG